AAACGACUAGAAAUUGGAAAUGGUAGUGUAUCAUGCAAAACAAGACAGACCCUGAAAAUUUAUAGUAGUGGGUUAACUAGAACCAAAUAUAAGAGAAUAGGCCUUAGGAAUAUGUAAGUAAUGCACAAUCUGUAAUAGAACAGCAUAAAGGCCAAAAGAGGCACAAUUUAGACCCUGUGUGAAAGGAUAUCAGACAAUGAGGAAGAGAAAUCCUGAAUGUACCCUGGAGAGGGGACAUACUCCAUAAGCCAUACAUUUCUGUGUUAGUGUUUAUUUCAUGGAAAAAUAUUGCUGUUGCCAUGUAUAUUCAAAUGCAGAUCAGAUGAUCUGUUAAGGAUAAUGGAACCGUCACUUAAGAAAAACUUAAUUUUUUUUCCCUGUGUCCUAUUGGCACAGGUCUUUUCUUUUAAAUUUUUAUUUUAAUCGUUUUGAGGUACAGGUGGGUUUUGGUUACAUGGAUAAGUUCUUUGGUGGUGAAGAAAAACUUCAGAUAGAACAUUUGGUUAAAUAAAAGACUAUAGAGCAGGUUUAUUUGUUUUUUAAGUCAAAAUGUUAACCCAUUACAUAAGCAUGCUGACCUAGGCUUGCUUGAAACUCGUGAUCUUGUCCUUAGUGACCCAGUCUUUCCUGUUACAUUGUCCUAAAUGACUGGUUUCAUAGUUUUACUCUGUCAUUGCACGUCUCAUAUCUCCUCCCUCUCACUUUGCUCCCUAUUGCCCUGAGAAAAUAGACGCAGUCAGAAAAGAAUCUUUAAAAGUUGUCACCGUUGCAUCUGUAAACCUAGCAUCUGUGCCCAUCUGUCCCCAUCUGCCCUUUAUUAUAUACUGCGGAUAUAUUGUUUGUCGUAGCUUGAGCCAAUUGCAAUGUCUCAUUUCUUUUAUAACAAAGCUCCUUGAAAAAGAGUUCUAUUAUAGCAAAACUCCUUGCCUGUAUUCAUUGUUUUUAGUUUGUUCUGUUUUUUCUGAACCCAUUCCAAUCAGAUAUUCAUUUCCAUUGGAGCUGGUAUUUUUAAGGUCUCGUGACGUCAGUGACCUCAUUUUACUUGAUCUAUUAGCAGCAUUUCAUACAGUUGUUGACUCUUCUCCAUUAAAACAUUUACUUUAUUUGGCUUCUAGGAAACAUAUUUUCCUGCUUUUUCUUCCUAUUUCUCUGACUCUUUUCUCAGUUUCCUUUGCUGUUUCCUUUUCUAUCCUCUAAACAUUGAAAUAUCCUAAGCCUAGUUUGGGAUUCCCUUGAUGGUCUUCAUUUCUUUAAUGGGAACUGUGCUGGUGACUCAAAUUUAUAUCUCCAGCCAGAACCUUUCUCCUGAAUUCCAGAUUCACAUAUCCGACUGUUUACUAGGUGCUUGAUAACUAUAUCUGUACUUUUCAUCUUGUUUAAUCCAAAUUUACUUCUUUUGCAUUUUCCUUAGUUCAAUAAAUGACAACUUUAUUCUUCCAGUUAUUUAAACCAAAAAUCUUAGAGUCAUUCUUCUCUUCCUUCCCUCAUAUUUCAUGUCUGAUUCUAAAGGAAAUCUUGUUGCCUGUACUUUUUCUUUCUUUCCUUUUUUUCCCCUUUUUUUGAGUCUCGCACUGUCGCCCAGGCUGGAGUGCAGUAGUGCAAUCUCAGCUGACUGCAAUCUCUGUGUCCCGGGUUCAAGCGAUUCUCCUACCUCAGCCUCCUGAGCAGCUGGGGUUACAGGUGCAUGCCACCAUGCCUGGCUAAUUUUUAUAUUUUUAGUAGAGACUGGGUUUCACCAUGUUGGUAAGGCUGGUCUCCAACUCCUGACCUUGUGAUCUGCCCGCCUUGGCCUCCCAAAGUGCUGGGAUUGCAGGCGUGAGCCACCACAUCUG
rnacentral:lncRNA from 10 species